GACGAACGCUGGCGGCGUGCUUAACACAUGCAAGUCGAACGGAAAGGCCCUGCUUUUGUGGGGUGCUCGAGUGGCGAACGGGUGAGCAACACGUGAGUAACCUGCCCUUGACUUUGGGAUAACUUCAGGAAACUGGGGCUAAUACCGGAUAGGAGCUCCUGCUGCAUGGUGGGGGUUGGAAAGUUUCGGCGGUUGGGGAUGGACUCGCGGCUUAUCAGCUUGUUGGUGGGGUAGUGGCUUACCAAGGCUUUGACGGGUAGCCGGCCUGAGAGGGUGACCGGCCACAUUGGGACUGAGAUACGGCCCAGACUCCUACGGGAGGCAGCAGUGGGGAAUAUUGCACAAUGGGCGGAAGCCUGAUGCAGCAACGCCGCGUGCGGGAUGACGGCCUUCGGGUUGUAAACCGCUUUCGCCUGUGACGAAGCGUGAGUGACGGUAAUGGGUAAAGAAGCACCGGCUAACUACGUGCCAGCAGCCGCGGUGAUACGUAGGGUGCGAGCGUUGUCCGGAUUUAUUGGGCGUAAAGGGCUCGUAGGUGGUUGAUCGCGUCGGAAGUGUAAUCUUGGGGCUUAACCCUGAGCGUGCUUUCGAUACGGGUUGACUUGAGGAAGGUAGGGGAGAAUGGAAUUCCUGGUGGAGCGGUGGAAUGCGCAGAUAUCAGGAGGAACACCAGUGGCGAAGGCGGUUCUCUGGGCCUUUCCUGACGCUGAGGAGCGAAAGCGUGGGGAGCGAACAGGCUUAGAUACCCUGGUAGUCCACGCUGUAAACGGUGGGUACUAGGUGUGGGGUCCAUUCCACGGGUUCCGUGCCGUAGCUAACGCUUUAAGUACCCCGCCUGGGGAGUACGGCCGCAAGGCUAAAACUCAAAGGAAUUGACGGGGCCCCGCACAAGCGGCGGAGCAUGCGGAUUAAUUCGAUGCAACGCGUAGAACCUUACCUGGGUUUGACAUGGAUCGGGAGCGCUCAGAGAUGGGUGUGCCUCUUUUGGGGUCGGUUCACAGGUGGUGCAUGGCUGUCGUCAGCUCGUGUCGUGAGAUGUUGGGUUAAGUCCCGCAACGAGCGCAACCCUUGUUCACUGUUGCCAGCACGUUAUGGUGGGGACUCAGUGGAGACCGCCGGGGUCAACUCGGAGGAAGGUGGGGAUGACGUCAAGUCAUCAUGCCCCUUAUGUCCAGGGCUUCACGCAUGCUACAAUGGCUGGUACAGAGAGUGGCGAGCCUGUGAGGGUGAGCGAAUCUCGGAAAGCCGGUCUCAGUUCGGAUUGGGGUCUGCAACUCGACCUCAUGAAGUCGGAGUCGCUAGUAAUCGCAGAUCAGCAACGCUGCGGUGAAUACGUUCCCGGGGCU
rnacentral:rRNA from 1 species